AAGUCGUAACAAGGUUUCCGUAGGUGAACCUGCGGAAGGAUCAUUACCGAGUAACGGGUCUCCGGACCCACGCUCCCACCCUUUGUGUAUCUACCACGUUUCGUUGCUUCGGCGGGGUCGAUCCCAACGGCCACCGGCCCGCGGGGGACCCGUCGGAGGAGCACCAAAACUCUUGUUAACAGUGUCGUCUGAGAACAAACAAAAUGAAUUAAAACUUUCAACAACGGAUCUCUUGGUUCUG
rnacentral:misc_RNA from 1 species